rnacentral:ncRNA from 2 species
CUCUUAUUCAGAAUGGUGGAGUCAUAAGGGACUGUGAAGCCAUGGCAACCCCGUCGCUAUUUGUACGGAAGGUGCCUUCCUGAGCGAUCUGCACGGCAAGUGCAUGUCGAACAAUGAGAG